UGCAUGAGGAUAUGGCUAGCCAAUUUGAC
rnacentral:piRNA from 1 species